UGGGGAAUUUUGCACAAUGGGCGCAAGCCUGAUGCAGCGACGCCGCGUGAGGGAUGAAGGCCUUCGGGUUGUAAACCUUUUUCGCUCAUGGUCAAGCCGCAGCUUUGGGUUGUGGUGAGGGUAGUGGGUAAAGAAGCGCCGGCUAACUACGUGCCAGCAGCCGCGGUAAUACGUAGGGCGCGAGCGUUGUCCGGAAUUAUUGGGCGUAAAGGGCUUGUAGGCGGUUGGCCGCGUCUGCCGUGAAAUCCUCUGGCUUAACUGGGGGCGUGUGGUGGGUACGGGUUGACUUGAGUGCGGUAGGGGAGACUGGAAUUCCUGGUGUAGCGGUGGAAUGCGCAGAUAUUAGGAGGAAUACCGGUGGCGAAGGCGACUUUCUGGCCAUAAUCUGACGCUGAGGUACGAAAGCGUGGGUAGCAAACAGG
rnacentral:rRNA from 1 species